AGAUCUGAGACGCGCGUUGGAGAAUCGGGGGGAAGGGGUCAAUGUGGGAUUGUUGCUAUUUGAUAGUCAGAGCGACGGGGGGAUCGCGGGGCAGGUUCAGUCAGUGACAGACACCAGCAGAGACAAGGGCGCGCCAGGGGCACAGAUCUGAGACCCGCGUUGGAGAAUCGGGGGGAAGGGGUCAAUCUGGGAUUGUUGGUAUUUGAUAGUCAGAGCGACGGGGGGAUCUCGGGGCAGGUUCAGUCAGUGACAGACGCCAGCAGAGACAAGGGGGUGCCAGGGGCACAGAUCUCAGACCCGCAUUGGAGAAUCGGGGGGAAGGGGUCAAUGUGGGAUUGUUGGUAUUUGAUAGUCAGAGCGACGGGGGGAUCGCGGGGCAGGUUCAGUCAGUGACAGACGCCAGCAGAGACAAGGGGGCGCCAGGGGCACAGAUCUCAGACCCGCGUUGGAGAAUCGGGGGGAAGGGGUCAAUGUGGGAUUGUUGGUAUUUGAUAGUCAGAGCGACGGGGGGAUCUCGGGGCAGGAUCAGUCAGUGACAGACGCCAGCAGAGACAAGGGGGCGCCAGGGGCACAGAUCUCAGACCCGCGUUGGAGAAUCGGGGGGAAGGGGUCAAUGUGGGAUUGUUGGUAUUUGAUAGUCAGAGCGACC